GCCCGGCUAGCUCAAUCGGUAGAGCGUGAGACUCUUAUUCACGGUUCUCCUGGCUCUGAAAUGGACAUCUCAAGGUUGUGGGUUCGACCCCCACGUCGGGCU